UUGUUACUGUAUGCUUGGAAAACAUAAUUUAUUGUGACAAAAAUAUUUUAUAACAUAAUAACUUAGCAUAGUAUGAACAAAGUUGAAGUAUUCUCUUUCAGAUUCCGACUUAUACAAUUGUAUGUCAAAAUUCACAAUAAUCUGUCUAAUGUGCCAAAAAUCCAAAGCCAAAACUGUUGUCAGAUCAAGCAACAAAGGCUUCUUCGAGAAGAUGUCGAAUUAAGAGAAUCAAUAUAAAGCAUAUACUUCACUUUAAUCUAUUCAUACAGUCAUCACAUACAUUGCAUAUUUAGGCUGCACCUUUAAAGUAAUGGAAAACGGAAAUUCUGAAAAAAAGGACUUUAAAAAAUAUAUAUACAAAAUAGUAUUUUCCUAAAGAAAUCUUCAUUAUAUGUUUUAGAAAAGAAAUGUGUUUAUCGGACAUAAAACCUGUGUGGGGCUAAAAUUCCUAACACACAUUGCAGCAAGAUGGUUCAAGCUCAGAUCUGAUUGGUAAUUCGUAGCUCUAAGCCAAAAGCGAGAUUGCAAAGGACGUUUUUUAACCGGGUGAUCAAAACUGAAUUGACAUUUAGUUUAAAUGUUAUCAGCGUUCGGAAUGUUACUCAAUUCGUGUCAUCAGACUUAAUCUGAUGCAUUUAAAGUCCUGUCAACCAAAAGUUAUACUCAUAGAACCAAGAAAUAAUAAGUACAUUUAGUACCGUGGCUGUGUUUUAGGCACGGAGAGAGGGAUGUUACAAACAGGACAAGAAUCCUAAAAACGCAUUGAGCCAGCAUAUGCUGAAUUGCUCAUCUUGAAUUUUUUAAGCUGAACAUCUGAAUAUUCUGAAUAAUAGAUAUUUUGCAUUUGAUGCACAUGUGCAUAUCAUUUUAUCUCACUUACUUGGUGAAUGUGCAUACAAGGGUCGAAAUUUAACCAACAUUAUCUGCUAUUUUCAGCCAGGUUAUUUAGUUUAACAAUAUACUGUACCAUAUAUUUACAGUAGCAUUUAUUUUACUGGAUAUUUAAAUAUUGAUAGGGGUAUACAUUAAUCAGAUCUUAUUUUAUUAACAAUUAGUGUUUUACCGUGUGAAGAUAUAUAUUGCUUAUUGUUCAUGUCACAAAUUCUAUGCACUUUAUGCUUUUUAGGGCCUUAGGUAUAAGAUAACAGUUUAGAAAUAGUUAACAGGGAGGAAUAAUACACAAUAAAUUAGAAAAAUAGGGUAUUAAAAAUAUUAGUGUCCAAUUAUGCGUAUUAAGAAAUUGUAAGUACUUUGACCAAAUGUUAACUUGGUUUUUAAUUUUAGAAAACCCUAAAAUUAUGAGAUAAGUUAUUUGCUCUUAAAAAUAAAAAUGUAAAAUGCUAAAUGUACACAUGUCAACAGGAAAUUAGACAUACAACAAAAGAAAUCCAAAUGAGGUCACAAUGGCAUUUGCACCUUUUUAAAGCAGAAAAAAAAGAAAAUAAAAUCCAACCGAUGUAAUGUAAGCUGGCCUACAAUUUGCAUAUUUUUAAACAAAUUCAUAAUUUAGUGAAUUAUAGUGUACUAAACUAAAUUUUUCAUUGACUUGUACAGUUUCGUAGUCAAAUAAUAUGGUAGUGUCUGUUACGAUCGUGAUCUAAGACAGUAACGAUAUAUGAAUGCUUAAAAUUAUUAAGUCAACUCUUAAAAAAAACCUUGAAGUUACUCAUGGACUAAAGAGCAACACAUUUGGUUAGAAAAAAGGUUUAUAGUGUUAUUUCACUUUUAGAAAUAACCCUUUAACGUAUACUAUGAAUUCCAGUAAAACAAUCCCAAUGGCAAAAUUUAGGUUAUGAUAGCUAAUUUAGGAAAUAUUCCAAGUAAGCCAUAGUCAGGUUAUUUUAAAUACAUAAAGGGGAUCAACACAGUAAAGGAGUAAACUAUAUUUAAAAGAAAAACUACCACAACAAGAGGACAUAGUCUUAAAUUAGGCAAAGGUUUAAAAAUAAUAUUAGGAAGUAUUACUUUACUGAGAGGGUAGUGGAUGCAUGGAAUAGCCUUCCAGCUGAAGUGAUAGAGGCUAACACAGUGAAUGAGUUUAAGCAUGCGUGGGAUAGGCAUAAGGCUAUCCUAACUAUAAGGCCAGGGACUAAUGAAAGUAUUUAGAAAAUUGGGCAGACUAGAUGGGCCGAAUGAUUUUUAUCUGCCGUCACAUUCUAUGUUUCUAACUUUGCCAUUUCAGUUUACUACAAUUUAGAAUUUAGUUAAUACCAGGUGUCUCUGUAAUGAUCAAAACUGCUCAGUUUAGUACCAAAUAUUAUUAGUAACUACACAUACCAAGUGUUUAUCAUUUUUAAAAAAAAUCAACAUUGAUUUAUGCUUUUUUGUUGUUAAAAAACAAGUGAAUAUGUGUAUAAUCUUGAAUACGGAAUUAAUAAGUCGUUUAUAGAAUAAUUUCCUCUUUCUUACUAAGAGCAAAAUUCUGGAUCAUGGCUUCAAAUUAUUUCUCUCAAGAUAAUAUUGAUACAAUAUUUUUUUAUACAUCACAUUGAAACAAACACAGUGUAAAAUUACUAUUCCUUCAUUAACUGGAAAUAAUAUUAUUGGGAAUAUUAUUUUACGUUGAUUUAUGUAAAGAAAUUUUCAGUGACCUUUAACCCCUUAAGGAUACAUGACAUGUGUGACAUGUCAUGAUUCCCUUUUAUUCCAGAAGUUUGGUCCUUAAGGGGUUAAGUCACUUUAAGCAUUCUUUCUUUACGGUAUGGAAAUGUUUGUAUUCAAAUUGAAAUAUUUAGCAUUUACAUUUACUAAAUGUUGAUCAAAGUAAAACAAGUCUAUCUUUCGUUUUGUUAAGUCAGAAGUAAAAGGUGCUCACUACAGGUGUAAAAUGGCUCAAGUGCAUUCUUCAAACAAGUUAUCAUCUCACAAGGAACAACUUUGACCAAAGUGCGUAAAAUAGUUUAGAAAAAGGUAGAACAAGCCAGAGCUAUAAAACAGAACUAGCUGACUUUUCUGACAUAAAAAUUUAGUUGGAAUAAGGUAAGCUUUUGUUUGACCAAAAUGGGAACAAAAAGUUAUUGUUAAUGGCCAAUGAUGCCCGACAAGACCCAAAAGCGGGAAUGUUUAGCUCUUUUUACAGAACUCGUCUAAUUCUAAAAUCAGGUAAUCAUAUCUGCCCUUCUCCUUCUCCUCCCCAAAGCCACCAUCAAUCACGGUGAUGUGGGGUGGUCUGCUUUAAAACACUAAAAUGUUUCUCCUGAUUGCUUUACAUCUUAUUUAUUUAGCUAGUUAUUCAUUUUUGAGCCUGGUCUUAUACUUGGGGAUUUGUCAAUACACAUUGGGUAUUAUAUAUAAAGAGCACUUGUUGGUCAAAGUUCAAAAAGUAGAGUAAAUACUAUGGAAACCAAUGCGAUACUCCUGUCAAUUGUUCCACAUUUAGAACGUUGCCUUACCAUUGCUCUCUACACAUAUCCUGCAUAGAUUGUUACUAUACAUUUUCAGUUAAAGAGAAAUCCUUAAACUAACAUAAAUCUUGCUGCUUGUCAACUGUACUUAUAAAGAUUAUAUUUUUUCUCCAUUUAAUGUAAAUAAACUUCAGCCUGAAAUGCAGAUCAAAGUAGUUCAUAACUCAUGGAGAAACUGUUGUAUAUACAAUAAAAAUACAGCAUUGAUCGCAGCUGUAAUGAGGGAUGUGUUAAGGUUAGUUAUGUCAAACUUGCUAUUCUACAGCACUGCCACAAUUAAUAAUCAGUUCCAGUAAUAUUUUACUGCAAUCAUAGAAGGUCAUUGAGCCUGAGGUUCGUCAAACCAGGCAGAACUUUGACAUUAUUGUGUAUCCAAUGUAUGUAAUAUAACCAGAGAUGUAUUUGCUAAUUGGUCACAUAGCUGUGUCUUGUAACCACUGGAUAUGUAUUUUAUCACCUCUAGUCUUUCAUUCCUUCUUUCGGAUUGGUCACCAAAAAACUAUAUUACCUGCUAUGGUAAUAUGACACUCUGAGGGUUAUAAACUAAACUGAGAAUUCAACGUGAAUUUCAAAUUGAAAGCCAAAGUAUCCUCCAAACUAAAAUAGUAGCGGGCUUAGAGAAUUUAUUCAGCUCGUCUAGUUUGGCUUUAAAUUUGGAAUUCACUUUGAACUCUCACUUUGGUAAAUAACUCUGCUAUGGUAACGUAUACGGCAGGACAAUAAAAAGGGAAGCAUUAGCCUGAGCUGUAAUGGGCAGCAGUGAUUGGCUGAGGGUAUCAGCUGACCUCUAUCAGCCUAUCACAGUUGCAAACAUUUGGUAUGACUUGUUAAGGAAGUAUGUAAUCUCUGCCUUAGUCAUCCCUGCAGUGGGGACUGGGCUAUGGACAGCCAGAGGCCAUCAUUCAGUGUUAAACUGCUUGAAAAUAGUUUACUUUUGAAUGGUGCCAGAAGGUUCCAGGCACCAUUCAAUAGAGAAAUUGUUAUAGUGCCUACAGUAUUUUUUUUUAUGCAAGGCACCUAACUGUCAGUCUGCAUUGAAACAUACAUUGUAGUUGUGUCUUAGACUUGUGCACACCAGAAAAAUUUGGGCUGUCCAAAUUGAUUCGUCUGAGCAAAGAAAACCAAAACCAAUUUGAUUUGGCCAUGUUGCAUGUUGGUUUGGAUGAGUCUGCCAUGCAAUAGUUUCAGGAAAAACCAUUUGGAGGAACCGAAAUGGCACACAACUGUGUCAAUCAGUGUAAUGGAAAUUUUUUUUUUUUUUUAAAUCAGCUUCUCUAUGUUUCCCCUCUCCCUUUUUCUGAUGCCAUGGACUGGCUCCAAAUCACAAAAGAAAUUAUAUGGCUCUUGCAUUGCCAUUUUGUACUUGCGAAAUUUGGAUGAAGUGCCACUCAGUGUGUGUGUAAUGCUUGUAGCCUAUUCACACAGACCUAACUUACAUAUCAAAUCACAAGUACACAUACUCAGCUAUUUAUACUUUGUUUAAAAAAGCCGUAGUCACACCACUUGCAUGUGACUCACACAGCCUUCCUAGACACAUCCUGUAAGUGAG
rnacentral:lncRNA from 1 species